UACGGGGGGGGCAAGCGUUGUUCGGAAUUACUGGGCGUAAAGGGCUCGUAGGCGGCCAACUAAGUCAGACGUGAAAUCCCUCGGCUUAACCGGGGAACUGCGUCUGAUACUGGAUGGCUAGAGGUUGGGAGAGGGAUGCGGAAUUCCAGGUGUAGCGGUGAAAUGCGUAGAUAUCUGGAGGAACACCGGUGGCGAAGGCGGGUCUCUGGGCCGAUAUUGACGCUGAGGAGCGAAAGCGUGGGGAGCGAACAGG
rnacentral:rRNA from 1 species